rnacentral:rRNA from 1 species
GCAGGCUGCAACCCGCCUGCGUGAAGUUGGAAUCGCUAGUAAUCGCGGAUCAGCAUGCCGCGGUGAAUACGUUCCCGGGCCUUGUACACACCGCCCGCCACACCAUGAGAGUCGGGAACACCCGAAGUCCGUAGCCUGACCGCAAGGGGGCGCGGCCGAAGGUGGGUUCGAUAAUUGGGGUGAAGUCGUAACAAGGUACC